GGAGGAGCUGAACACCUAUUCAUAAGUCCAUUGUUGAUAGAGGAAAUAAUAGAUAAAGCAUCACCUUCGAACCAAACAUAUAAGUUUGCAACUGAUUUACGGCAAUCCUUAAAUCCAUCAAAAUAGCAAAGAGUUCGGCGUAAUAGACAGGAGUGGAGGAUAGAAGUUUUCUCCCUACAUAAAUGAGAGAACCCUGAGCAUCACAGAUUACAAACCCCACUGCUGCUUUAUUAACCUUCACUGCAGCAUCAAAAUUGACCUUCAACGUGCCUUA
rnacentral:lncRNA from 1 species